rnacentral:lncRNA from 1 species
CUUACCUGGAUGGGGAUUGUGCUCCUUUUUGGCUAUCACCAGUCACUGGAAGGGGGUAAGCAAAUUACCUUGCAGUGAGAAAGCUUUCAUCUUGACCUGUUAGUCCCUGGAAUCACCCUAGAUGGAUAUAUGAAUCCAGUUCUACCCUUAGAUCAUGAAUUGAUCAGCCAAAGGCACAUGAGUUGGUACAAAGGCAUCGCUUUGAGAAAUUCUCAGAGCAAUGCUGUAAAACUGGUAAGGUGAUAACACCUAUCUGAAAAAUGGAAAACCAGAGGCAGACACUGAGUAAAUAGCCAAAGACAACCAAACAGAAACAAGC